AAAAAUUUACUCAAAAAAAAUUGUUUUUAUACUUCAUUCUAAGGACUUAUUGAACUACCCUCGUAUUCAACACGCUGCUAGGGGUAGAGAGUAUCGUCUUCGUGAAAGGCUUAUUGUAGACGGGUACUUUCAAGAAGAUGAUAACGGACAUAACAGAAAUAUGGGAAUGCUACUUCAGACGUUUAAAAAAAGAGGACAAAGAACUGACUCAAUUUUUAAAACAUCAUCCCUUCCUAAAACUAAAAAAAAUAUUGAACCCUCGUGAUGCUUUUUACGGUGUUCCUACAGAAAACACUAAAUAUUAUUAUGAGGUGAAAGACGGGGAGAUAAUUGAAUAUAAACAUGUUUGCUUUUUGUAUCCUUUUAUUUGUAAGAUAGGCGUGUUUCCUAUAGGACAUCCAACAUUAUAUGUUGGUUUUUAUGAGUGCAAAUCAUUCACAGAACCAAAUUAUGAUCUUGGCACAGUCGAGGGUUUAGUGCGUUGUACAGUUUUGCCAACUCAAAAUCUUUAUCACCCCCUUCUACCUAUUCGUAUGCAUGGAAAAUUAAUGUUUUCUCUUUGUCGUACAUGCUGUGAAACUCUUGAACAGGGUGAAUGUCUGCAUGAAGAUGAAUCACAGCGUGUAUUUGAAGGUACCUGGGUUUCCCUUGAAUUAAAAAACGCCAUAGAACAAGAUUACAAGAUCAUACCGAUUUCAGAAAUCUGGCAGUACAGGGUCGUUCAAUAUGAUCCAUCCACUCACAAGAAUGGUCUUUUCGCAGCAUAUAUAAAUAUGUUCUUGAAAAUUAAUCAAGAAGCGUGUGGGUGGCCAUCAUACUGUAUCGAUGAAGCUUCAAAAGUGGAAUACGUACGACAAUACAAGCAGGCAGAAGGGAUAAAACGCGAUCGCAAUAAAAUUAAUAAAAAUCCUGGUUUGCGAUCCGUGGCAAAAUUAUGCCUUAAAUCUUUCUGGGGCAAGUUUGGUCAGCGUAAUGAUUUACCUCAAACAGAUAUGGUAAGAACAAAGAAAAAAUUAUUACGAAUGCAACUUAACCCAGAAAUCGAGGUCAGAAAUAUUGUACCUGCAAACGAAAUGAUGUUGUAUCUUUGUUGGGCAUACAGAGAAAAAGCAGUCACACCUCUGCCUAAUACAAACGUCGUCAUCGCAGCGUGUACGACAGCACAAGCCCGUUUAAAGUUGUACGAUUACUUGUCGCAACUAGAUCGACGAGUCUUGUAUUAUGACACGGAUUCUUGUAUAUACAUCACUCGCGGAACUUCCGGCGAAUACACUCCACCUGUAAGCUCUCUCGUGGGUGAUUUCACCGAUGAGCUCGAAAAAGAUCACGGCAAGGGUAGCUAUACUCGUAUACGCGCUUUCGUUUUAGGCGGACCAAAAUUUUACGCGUAUAUAGCCCGCGCUACAGAUGGCACGGAAUCAGCAGUGUGUACGUCUGAAGGUAUAAGUUUAAAUUUCGAUAAUUCUAAACUUGUACACGUUGCCUCCCUUCGUGAUCUUGUGAUAGACCGUAAGGAACCUAUUAAAGUCAAGUCUCGGUCGAUUGGAACCACUUGCUUUCAUCAAGUUGUCACUCGUGAUGAAAAAAAAGAUAUGCAGAGUUGUUGUUAUGAAGAGGCGUAGGGUAGACAAUUACGAUUCUCUACCCUACGGCUAUAAAACAACGUAGAUAAUUUCAAUACUUUUUGUAAAUACCGACUCUUGUAAAUAAUUUUGACUAGUUUACUUUUGUAAAUUUUAUUCUAUCCGGAUUUUUUUGCCACCCUCUAGAAAUAUAUAACCCUCAUCGAUCUUCACAAAUUGAAUAAUUCGGCACCAGCUACCACAACGACCUCUAGGCCUAUCAAUGGCUAUUCUCCAACCCUCAAUGAGUGGGAUAAUAGCACAACAGUCAACGAAUUAGGAUUAUAACCU